GCUAGUUGGCGGGGUAAUGGCCCACCAAGGCGACGACGGGUAGCUGGUCUGAGAGGAUGGCCAGCCACAUUGGGACUGAGAGACGGCCCAGACUCCUACGGGAGGCAGCAGUGGGGAAUAUUGGACAAUGGGCGCAAGCCUGAUCCAGCCAUGCCGCGUGAGUGAUGAAGGCCUUAGGGUUGUAAAGCUCUUUCGUCCGGGACGAUAAUGACGGUACCGGAAGAAGAAGCCCCGGCUAACUUCGUGCCAGCAGCCGCGGUAAUACGAAGGGGGCUAGCGUUGUUCGGAAUCACUGGGCGUAAAGGGCGCGUAGGCGGCUUUGUAAGUCGGGGGUGAAAGCCUGUGGCUCAACCACAGAAUUGCCUUCGAUACUGCAUGGCUUGAGACCGGAAGAGGUUAGUGGAACUGCGAGUGUAGAGGUGAAAUUCGUAGAUAUUCGCAAGAACACCAGUGGCGAAGGCGGCUGACUGGUCCGGUUCUGACGCUGAGGCGCG
rnacentral:rRNA from 1 species